AUACGGAGGGUGCAAGCGUUAAUCGGAAUUACUGGGCGUAAAGUGUACGUAGGCGGUUAGUUAAGUUAGAUGUGAAAGCCCCGGGCUUAACCUGGGAACUGCAUUUAAAACUGGCGAACUAGAGUUGAGUAGAGGGGAGUGGAAUUUCAGGUGUAGCGGUGAAAUGCGUAGAGAUCUGAAGGAACACCAGUGGCGAAGGCGACUCCCUGGACUCGAACUGACGCUGAGGUACGAAAGCGUGGGUAGCAAACGGGAUUAGAAACCCUAGUAGUCC
rnacentral:rRNA from 1 species